AAUUGUGCUACACGGUCCUGUAAGUAGUAGAGUAGCCUUGUUGUUACGAUCUACUGAGGGUAAGCCGUCCAUAGCCUAGAUUUGA
rnacentral:rRNA from 3 species